rnacentral:rRNA from 1 species
UGUGUAGGCGGUUGUUUAAGUUUGGUGUGAAAUCUCCCGGCUCAACUGGGAGGGUGCGCCGAAUACUGAAUGACUAGAGUGCGGGAGAGGAAAGUGGAAUUCCUGGUGUAGCGGUGAAAUGCGUAGAUAUCAGGAGGAACACCGGUGGUGUAGACGGCUUUCUGGACCGUAACUGACGCUGAGACACGAAAGCGUGGGUAGCAAACAGGAUUAGAUACCCUGGUAGUCCACGCCCUAAACGAUGCAUAUUUGGUGUGGGUCAUUCAGUUGAUCCGUGCCGGAGCUAACGCGUUAAAUAUGCCGCCUGGGGAGUACAGUCGCAAGGCUGAA